GACGAACGCUGGCGGCGUGCUUAACACAUGCAAGUCGAACGCUGAAGCUCAGCUUUUGUUGGGUGGAUGAGUGGCGAACGGGUGAGUAACACGUGAGUAACCUGCCCCCUUCUUUGGGAUAACGCCCGGAAACGGGUGCUAAUACUGGAUAUUCACUGGUCUUCGCAUGGGGGUUGGUGGAAAGGGUUUUUCUGGUGGGGGAUGGGCUCGCGGCCUAUCAGCUUGUUGGUGGGGUGAUGGCCUACCAAGGCUUUGACGGGUAGCAGGCCUGGGAGGGUGGCCGGUCACAUUGGGACUGAGAUACGGCCCAGACUCCUACGGGAGGCAGCCGUGGGGAAUAGUGAACAAUGGGCGAAAGCCUGAUGCAGCGACGCGGCGUGAGGGAUGGAGGCCUUCGGGUUGUGAACCUCUUUCGCUCAUGGUCAAGCCGCAACAAUGGUUGUGGUGAGGGUAGUGGGUAAAGAAGCGCCGGCUAACUACGUG
rnacentral:rRNA from 1 species